rnacentral:tRNA from 1 species
UUGUUCGUAGUAUAACGGCAGUACGUCAGAUUGUGACUCUGAAAAUGAAGGUUCAACUCCUUCCGAUCAACCCA